CCUACGGGGUGCACCAGUGGGGAAUAUUGCACAAUGGGCGCAAGCCUGAUGCAGCCAUGCCGCGUGUGUGAAGAAGGCCUUCGGGUUGUAAAGCACUUUCAGCGGGGAGGAAGGCGAUAAGGUCAAUAACCUUGUCGAUUGACGUUACCCGCAGAAGAAGCACCGGCUAACUCCGUGCCAGCAGCCGCGGUAAUACGGAGGGUGCAAGCGUUAAUCGGUAUUACUGGGCGUAAAGCGCACGCAGGCGGUCUGUCAAGUCGGAUGUGAAGUCCCCGGGCUUAACCUGGGAACUGCAUUCGAAACUGGCGGGCUAGAGUCUUGUAGAGGGGGGUAGAAUUCCAGGUGUAGCGGUGAAAUGCGUAGAGAUCUGGGGGAAUACCGGUGGCGAAGGCGGCCCCCUGGACAAAGACUGACGCUCAGGUGCGAAAGCGUGGGGAGCAAACAGGAUUAGAUACCCCGGUAGUC
rnacentral:rRNA from 1 species